GUCCUGGCCCUAAACGAUGAAUACUUGGUGUCUGGAAUUAUUAUUGUUCCGGGUGCCGUCGCUAACGUUUUAAGUAUUCCGCCUGGGGAGUACGCACGCAAGUGUGAAACUCAAAGGAAUUGACGGAGACCCCGCACAAGCGGUGGAGCAUGUGGUUUAAUUCGACGCAACGCGAAGAACCUUACCUGGACUAGAAUGUGAGGGAAGGGCUUCUAAUAGAGUCCGUCCGGGAAACCGGACCCAAACAAGGUGCUGCAUGGCUGUCGU
rnacentral:rRNA from 1 species